AUUAGCCUACAAAAAGGGAAUUUAUGGGUUCAGACCAAAGUCAGAGGAUCUGAGCAGCUGUGUUCAACUUUUCUGCUAGUGCAAGUUGUGUCCUAGUAAUGCUCGACAAAUAUAAUAAUAGCAACUGAUCCUGCACGACACAAAAUAUUCAAGAGUUGGUUCCAUAAAUGAUUUCACGUAACUUGGGAGAUAUAACCAAAGCACAAUUGUAAUGAUAUUUAGAAAUUAAUCAUACCUGAAGGCUAUCAUUAACAAGCUUAUCAAAAGCUGGAGGCGAUAGUUUAGGUAAAGCUGCUACUGUAUCCGAUAUAAAUCUGCCGAUGCUAUUAUCCGCUGCAACACGCCCUUCCUGAGAAUGCAAAUGAACAUUAUUAAAGGCAGCAGUUGGGAC